rnacentral:rRNA from 1 species
CAAAAACAUCGCCUCUUGCAAAUCUCAUAUAAGAGGUCCCGCCUGCCCUGUGACAUUGUUUAACGGCCGCGGUAUUAUGACCGUGCGAAGGUAGCGUAAUCACUUGUCUUUUAAUUGAAGACCUGUAUGAAAGGCAUCACGAGAGUUUACCUGUCUCUAUUUUCUAAUCAAUGAAAUUGAUUUCCCCGUGCAGAAGCGGGGAUAUAACCAUAAGACGAGAAGACCCUAUGGAGCUUUAAACACUUAAGUUACUAUCUUAUUUAUUAACUAACCUAAAGACUUAACCAUUCUAAUAGUAACCUAACUUAAUGUUUUCGGUUGGGGCGACCAAGGAGUAAAAGAAAACCUCCUUAUCGAUUGAGUAUUUUUACUUAAAAGUCAGAACGACAGUUCUGAUUAAUAGAAUAUCUAACGAAUAAUGACCCAGGGCUAUACCCUGAUCAAUGAACCAAGUUACCCUAGGGAUAACAGCGCAAUCCUUUCUAAGAGUCCCUAUCGCCGAAAGGGUUUACGACCUCGAUGUUGGAUCAGGACAUCCUAAUGGUGCAACCGCUAUUAAGGGUUCGUUUGUUCAACGAUUAAUAGUCCUACGUGAUCUG